rnacentral:rRNA from 1 species
UACGGGAGGCAGCAGUGGGAAUAUUGCACAAUGGGCGCAAGCCUGAUGCAGCCAUGCCGCGUGUAUGAAGAAGGCCUUCGGGUUGUAAAGUACUUUCAGCAGUGAGGAAGGUGGUGCAGUUAAUAGCUGUAUCAUUUGACGUUAGCUGCAGAAGAAGCACCGGCUAACUCCGUGCCAGCAGCCGCGGUAAUACGGAGGGUGCGAGCGUUAAUCGGAAUUACUGGGCGUAAAGCGCAUGCAGGUGGUUUGUUAAGUCAGAUGUGAAAGCCCCGGGGCUCAACCUCGGAAUUGCAUUUGAAACUGGCAGACUAGAGUACUGUAGAGGGGGUAGAAUUUCAGGUGUAGCGGUGAAAUGCGUAGAGAUCUGAAGGAAUACCGGUGGCGAAGGCGGCCCCCUGGACAGAUACUGACACUCAGAUGCGAAAGCGUGGGGAGCAAACAGGUUUAGAUACCCUGGUAG